CGGUGAAUAGCGCAGUUUGGUAGCGCAUCUGGUUUGGGGCCAGAGGGGCGGGGGUUCGAAUCCCUCUUCACCGACCA
rnacentral:tRNA from 1 species